rnacentral:sRNA from 1 species
CAGAAAAUGAAAAAGGCCCGUUUCCUAAAAACCUGGUUCAGAUCAAAUCCAACAAAGACAAAGAAGGCAAGGUUUUCUACAGCAUCACUGGCCAAGGAGCUGACACACCCCCUGUUGGUGUCUUUAUUAUUGAAAGAGAAACAGGAUGGCUGAAGGUGACAGAGCCUCUGGAUAGAGAACGCAUUGCCACAUACACUGUAAGUAUCUCUUAGAAGCUUGUUGACACUGGGGUAACAUCCACCCAGGAUUUUUUGGUCAACCCAUGCUGGAUCCCCAGAUCAGAAGCUCUGAACACAUGAGGAGCUUAACUUGACACCUCUUGACCUGUUGCUAAGGAGAAAUGAUGGGAGAA